AGUGAACGCUGGCGGUAGGCCUAACACAUGCAAGUCGAACGGCAGCACAGUAAGAGCUUGCUCUUACGGGUGGCGAGUGGCGGACGGGUGAGGAAUACAUCGGAAUCUACUUUUUCGUGGGGGAUAACGUAGGGAAACUUACGCUAAUACCGCAUACGACCUACGGGUGAAAGCAGGGGAUCUUCGGACCUUGCGCGAUUGAAUGAGCCGAUGUCGGAUUAGCUAGUUGGCGGGGUAAAGGCCCACCAAGGCGACGAUCCGUAGCUGGUCUGAGAGGAUGAGCAGCCACCGUGGAACUUAGACACGGUCCAGACUCCUACGGGAGGCAGCAGUGGGGAAUAUUGGACAAUGGGCGCAAGCCUGAUCCAGCCAUACCGCGUGGGUGAAGAAGGCCUUCGGGUUGUAAAGCCCUUUUGUUGGGAAAGAAAAGCAGCAGGUUAAUACCCCGCUGUCCUGACGGUACCCAAAGAAUAAGCACCGGCUAACUUCGUG
rnacentral:rRNA from 1 species